AUUGGGUUUUGCAGAAGAAGAUCGAUGAGGAAGGUGAUCUUCUUCCUGAGUUCGUUGAUGAUGAAGAAAGGAUGGUUUGAUCUAGCUAGUGCUCGACACUCUAUGGGAACUUUACGUAUCAACAGCACUCUCUUAGACCUCAAGGAUCAUUCUGCGGCUUCAACAUUGCAAGUGACUGACCAAGAGGACAUAUACUUAUAUGUCUAUUACCAACCCGCUAGAGUUGAGUAAACGCUUCUGUGGCAGAGUAUUUGGUUGAUAUGGGUGCUCUCAACUGCCUCCUUCCCACCGACCAGCCUCGACUCAGCGAACAUAUGGAUGACAUCAUUAAGAUGAUUGAAAAGAUUAUUGAGAAUGAUUGUGGGUAUGUUAUGGAAGGAGGCGAUGUGUUCUUCUCUGUCGACAAAUCACUAGACUAUGGUAAGUUGUCAGGUCAGCGGAUGGAACAUACACGGGCUAGUGAGCGAGAAUCACUAGACUAUGGCCUUGGGAUGAAGAAUUUUCUUUGGUGAAUUGCAGAACUUUUAAGUUAGGUGAUAUGUAUAGCCUUUGUAUGUUGAGUUUGAGACAUCAGCCUUUGUAGCAGGGUUUGAGUAUUGAUCAUAGUCUGAGAGCAAGAGAUACCAUCAAUUAUGCAUUAAUCAUGUUUUUCAUUU